CACGUAGGGUGCGAGCGUUGUCCGGAAUUAUUGGGCGUAAAGAGCUCGUAGGCGGUUUGUUGCGUCUAUCGUGAAAACCUGCAGCUUAACUGUGGGCUUGCGGUGGAUACGGGCAGACUUGAGUUCGGUAGGGGGAGACUGGAAUUCCUGGUGUAGCGGUGAAAUGCGCAGAUAUCAGGAGGAACACCAGUGGCGAAGGCGGCUACCUGGACCAGCACUGACACUGAGGCACGAAAGCGUGGGGAGCGAACAGG
rnacentral:rRNA from 1 species